rnacentral:rRNA from 1 species
CCCUUAGAUGUUCUGGGCCGCACGCGCGCUACACUGACGAAGUCAGCGAGCAUCUCCUACGCCGAAAGGUGCGGGGAAUCUUGUGAAACUUUGUCGUGCUGGGGAUUGAUUUUUGAAAUUCUUGAUCAUCAACGAGGAAUUCCUAGUAAGCGCAAGUCAGCAGCUUGCGUUGAUUACGUCCCUGCCCUUUGUACACACCGCCCGUCGCUACUACCGAUUGAAUGGUUUAGUGAGAUUUUUGGACUGGAACUCUCUUGUUCAGCAAUGGACGAGAGGGACUCUGGGAAGCUAUUCUAACUGUAUCAUUUAGAGGAAGUAAAAGUCGUAACA